rnacentral:rRNA from 1 species
GACGAACGCUGGCGGCGUGCCUAAUACAUGCAAGUCGAACGCAGUGGGGACGGGUGAGUAACCCGUGGGUAACCUCCCAUCAGAGGGGAUAACACUUGGAAACAGGUGCUAACCCGCUAUUUCUGGAUGGACCCGCGGGGCAUUAGCUAGUUGGUGAGGUAACGGCGCACCAAGGCCACGAUGCAUAGCCGACCUGAGAGGGUGUUCGGCCACACUGGGACUGAGACAAGGCCCAAAAUCCUACGGGGGGCAGCAGUAGGGAAUCUUCGGCAAUGGACGAAAGUCUGACCGAGCAACGGCGCGUGAGUGAAGAAGGUUUUCGGAGCGUAAAACGCUGUUGUUAGAGAAGCGGUAUCUAACCAGAAAGCCACGGCUAACUACGUGCCAGCAGCCGCGGUAAUUC